rnacentral:misc_RNA from 1 species
AUUCUCAAAUAAAUUUAAUUUGAUAAAACUCAACAGUGUAAAAGGUCAUUGGUAAUUUAAAAUUUUUUUUUCAAUAAUACAAAUCAUCACCAUUAAUUAGGACGCAAUAACAAAUCGUCAACAGCAAGCACAACUAACCCUUCUGCCAGACGGAGAUGGAGAGGAUUGAUAUGAAAAGGUUCUGAACAUCAUGAAUUCUGUCAUGAACCCAUGGAGGGGAUAGGUUAGCCCAACCUUCACUCAAAUCAAUUCAUGAACACAUUUUAUAUCAAUCUUUGUCAACUUCAUAUCAAGCAAUGAAAUCGCUUCUCUCCUUU